rnacentral:tRNA from 1 species
GCCGGCCUAGCUCCAAUUGGUAGAGCAACUGACUUGUAAUCAGUAGGUUGGGGGUUCAAGUCCUCUGGCCGGCACCA